GUGCCAGCAGCCGCGGUAAGACGUAGGGAGCGAGCGUUGUCCGGAAUUACUGGGCGUAAAGAGCUCGUAGGCGGUACCGUAAGUCCGAGAGGAAAUCUCAAGGCUCAACUUUGGGGCUUUCUUGGAUACUGCGGUUCUUGAGGAUGAGAGGGGUAAGUAGAAUUCCCGGUGUAGCGGUGAAAUGCGUAGAUAUCGGGAGGAAUACCAGUGGCGAAGGCGGCUUACUGGCUCAUUCCUGACGCUGAGGAGCGAAAGCGUGGGGAGCAAACGGGAUUAGAUACCCCCGUAGUCC
rnacentral:rRNA from 1 species